ACCGGAGUAAUGAUUAAGAGGGGACAGUCGGGGGCAUUCGUAUUUCAUUGUCAGAGGGUGAAAUUCUUGGAUUUAUGAAAGACGAACUUCUGCGAAAAGCUUUUGCCAAGGAUGUUUUUCAUUAAUCAAGAACGAAAGUUGGGGGCUCGAAGACGAUUAGAUACCGUCGUAGUCUUUAACCAUAAACUAUGCCCAACUAGGGAUCAUUGAGUGUCAAUCUACGACCCUCAUUGGGCACCUUGUGAGAAAUCAAAAGGUUUUUGGGGUUUCCGGGGGGGAGUAUGGGUCGCAAAGGGCUGAAAACUUUAAAAGGAAAUUGACGGGAAAGGGCACCCACCAGGGAGUGGGAGCCCUGCGGGCUUUAAUUUUGACUCAACACGGGGGAAACUUACCAGGGUCCAGACAUAGUCAGGAUGGGACAGAUUGAAAGCUCUUUCUUGAUUCUAUGGGUGGUGGUGCAUGGCCGUUCUUAGUUGGUGGAGUGAUUUGUCUGGUUAAUUCCGUUAACGAACGAGACCUCAGCCUGCUAACUAGCGAUGCCCAUUUUUAAUGGACAGCCCGCUUCUUAGAGGGACUAUUCGUGUUCAACGAAUGGAAGUUUGAGGCAAUAACAGGUCUGUGAAUGCCCUUAGAUGUUCUGGGCCCGCACGCGCGCUACACUGAAUGGAUGCAACGAGCUCUACCCUUGACCGAAAGGCCCGGGUAAACUUGUCAAAAUCCAUCGUGAUGGGGAUAGAUUAUUGCAAUUCUUGAUCUUCAACGAGGAAUUCCUAGUAAGCGCGAGUCAUCAGCUCGCGUUGAUUACGUCCCUGCCCUUUGUACACACCGCCCGUCGCUCCUACCGAUUGAAUGGUCCGGCGAAUUCUUCAGAUCACUGCGAGGCUAACCCCUCGCUGUGAGAAGUUGAUUAUCCUUAUCAUUAGAGGAA
rnacentral:rRNA from 1 species